CCGGCACGGGUGAGUAACACGUAUGCAAUCCACCUGUAACAGGGGGAUAACCCGGAGAAAUCCGGAUAAUACCCCAUAAUAUGGGCGCUCCGCAUGGAGAGCCCAUUAAAGAGAGCAAUUUUGGUUACAGACGAGCAUGCGCUCCAUUAGCCAGUUGGCGGGGUAACGGCCCACCUAGUCUUCGAUGGAUAGGGGUUCUGAGAGGAAGGUCCCCCACAUUGGAACUGAGACACGGUCCAA
rnacentral:rRNA from 1 species